rnacentral:rRNA from 1 species
GGUCAGCAUCAAUUUUGAUCGUUGGAUAAAGGCUUUGGGAAUGUGGCUCCCUCGGGAGUGUUAUAGCCCAUUGCACAAUACCCUGGGGCGGACUGAGGUUCGCGCAUCUGCAAGGAUGCUGGCGUAAUGGUCAUCAGUGA